rnacentral:rRNA from 1 species
GAUGAACGCUGGCGGCGUGCCUAAUACAUGCAAGUCGAGCGAACAGACGAGGAGCUUGCUCCUCUGACGUUAGCGGCGGACGGGUGAGUAACACGUGGAUAACCUACCUAUAAGACUGGGAUAACUUCGGGACACCGGAGCUAAUACCGGAUAAUAUAUUGAACCGCAUGGUUCAAUAGUGAAAGACGGUUUUGCUGUCACUUAUAGAUGGAUCCGCGCCGCAUUAGCUAGUUGGUAAGGUGACGGCUUACCAAGGCAACGAUGCGUAGCCGACCUGAGAGGGUGAUCGGCCACACUGGAACUGAGGCUCGGUCCAGACUCCUACGGGAGGCAGCAGUAGGGAAUCUUCCGCAAUGGGCGAAAGCUUGACGGAGCACCGCCGCGUGAGUGAUGAAGGUCUUCGGAUCGUAAAACUCUGUUAUUAGGGAAGAACAAAUGUGUAAGUAACUAUGCACGUCUUGACGGUACCUAAUCAGAAAGCCACGGCUAACUACGUG